rnacentral:rRNA from 1 species
UGAGCUUGAUGAGUAGGGCGGGACACGUGGUAUCCUGUCUGAAUAUGGGGGGACCAUCCUCCAAGGCUAAAUACUCCUGACUGACCGAUAGUGAACCAGUACCGUGAGGGAAAGGCGAAAAGAACCCCGGCGAGGGGAGUGAAAAAGAACCUGAAACCGUGUACGUACAAGCAGUGGGAGCACGCUUAGGCGUGUGACUGCGUACCUUUUGUAUAAUGGGUCAGCGACUUAUAUUCUGUAGCAAGGUUAACCGAAUAGGGGAGCCGAAGGGAAACCGAGUCUUAACUGGGCGUUAAGUUGCAGGGUAUAGACCCGAAACCCGGUGAUCUAGCCAUGGGCAGGUUGAAGGUUGGGUAACACUAACUGGAGGACCGAACCGACUAAUGUUGAAAAAUUAGCGGAUGACUUGUGGCUGGGGGUGAAAGGCCAAUCAAACCGGGAGAUAGCUGGUUCUCCCCGAAAGCUAUUUAGGUAGCGCCUCGUGAAUUCAUCUCCGGGGGUAGAGCACUGUUUCGGCAAGGGGGUCAUCCCGACUUACCAACCCGAUGCAAACUGCGAAUACCGGAGAAUGUUAUCACGGGAGACACACGGCGGGUGCUAACGUCCGUCGUGAAGAGGGAAACAACCCAGACCGCCAGCUAAGGUCCCAAAGUCAUGGUUAAGUGGGAAACGAUGUGGGAAGGCCCAGACAGCCAGGAUGUUGGCUUAGAAGCAGCCAUCAUUUAAAGAAAGCGUAAUAGCUCACUGGUCGAGUCGGCCUGCGCGGAAGAUGUAACGGGGCUAAACCAUGCACCGAAGCUGCGGCAGCGACGCUUAUGCGUUGUUGGGUAGGGGAGCGUUCUGUAAGCCUGCGAAGGUGUGCUGUGAGGCAUGCUGGAGGUAUCAGAAGUGCGAAUGCUGACAUAAGUAACGAUAAAGCGGGUGAAAAGCCCGCUCGCCGGAAGACCAAGGGUUCCUGUCCAACGUUAAUCGGGGCAGGGUGAGUCGACCCCUAAGGCGAGGCCGAAAGGCGUAGUCGAUGGGAAACAGGUUAAUAUUCCUGUACUUGGUGUUACUGCGAAGGGGGGACGGAGAAGGCUAUGUUGGCCGGGCGACGGUUGUCCCGGUUUAAGCGUGUAGGCUGGUUUUCCAGGCAAAUCCGGAAAAUCAAGGCUGAGGCGUGAUGACGAGGCACUACGGUGCUGAAGCAACAAAUGCCCUGCUUCCAGGAAAAGCCUCUAAGCAUCAGGUAACAUCAAAUCGUACCCCAAACCGACACAGGUGGUCAGGUAGAGAAUACCAAGGCGCUUGAGAGAACUCGGGUGAAGGAACUAGGCAAAAUGGUGCCGUAACUUCGGGAGAAGGCACGCUGAUAUGUAGGUGAAGUCCCUUGCGGAUGGAGCUGAAAUCAGUCGAAGAUACCAGCUGGCUGCAACUGUUUAUUAAAAACACAGCACUGUGCAAACACGAAAGUGGACGUAUACGGUGUGACGCCUGCCCGGUGCCGGAAGGUUAAUUGAUGGGGUCAGCGCAAGCGAAGCUCUUGAUCGAAGCCCCGGUAAACGGCGGCCGUAACUAUAACGGUCCUAAGGUAGCGAAAUUCCUUGUCGGGUAAGUUCCGACCUGCACGAAUGGCGUAAUGAUGGCCAGGCUGUCUCCACCCGAGACUCAGUGAAAUUGAACUCGCUGUGAAGAUGCAGUGUACCCGCGGCAAGACGGAAAGACCCCGUGAACCUUUACUAUAGCUUGACACUGAACAUUGAGCCUUGAUGUGUAGGAUAGGUGGGAGGCUUUGAAGUG